rnacentral:misc_RNA from 1 species
GAGUGGAAGCCCUGCAGCACGACGUCUAUCGUCUCUUGUCUGUAAGCGCGCACAAGGGGCGCGUGUGCUCAGGUCAUAAGUGAAACUCGUUACUACCGAUCGGUUCGGCCUCACUGCCGCACGCCGCGCAACCGCUUCGCCUCAGCGGGCACAGUAGCACCCGCCACGAGUGCAACCGCGUGAACCAAAAUCCAAUCACGCGCACUCUGCGGGGCAAGUCACUAGUAGGAGGGUGGCUAGCGCUUAGAGCCCCACCCCACCCCUUCUCCGGACCUCUCUCUUUCUCUCCGCCCGAGUUGGUUGCCUUGAUUGUUGCUUGGUUGGUUGCCGCAUCACAGCCACCGUGAUCCCACGACCACCUUGGAGGCUGCUGCUCCUGCGGCGGUGGCGGCUGUUGUGGAGCGGGCGUUUGCAUCAAGGCUCAUCCUUGUGUGUGAGGGUGCGCGUGUCUAUGUGCCCUCUUUAUCUCCCUCCUCGUUCUUUCUCCGCCGCCUCGCGAGUCGUUUUUUUUUUUUGUUUGUUUGUUUUCUCGUUGUUUAUGUGGUGCUUCCUCUUUCGACGAUCGCCCACCUUCUC